GUACCAACCUGGCGCAAAGGAAACCACUAUCAAGAAGGCAGAUCCUCCAGAGUGAGGCCCUCCCAUUGUACUACGGUUGGGUUGACCCCUGCGAAUAUCCCUAAAGUGGAUAAUUUGGGCGUAUUAUUUUUGGUACAAAAUACUUUGGGAUGGA